rnacentral:rRNA from 1 species
UACGUAGGGUGCAAGCGUUAAUCGGAAUUACCGGGCGUAAAGCGUGCGCAGGCGGUGAUGUAAGACAGGUGUGAAAUCCCCGGGCUUAACCUGGGAACUGCAUUUGUGACUGCAUCGCUGGAGUGCGGCAGAGGGGGAUGGAAUUCCGCGUGUAGCAGUGAAAUGCGUAGAUAUGCGGAGGAACACCGAUGGCGAAGGCAAUCCCCUGGGCCUGCACUGACGCUCAUGCACGAAAGCGUGGGGAGCAAACAGG